AUUUCUGGGUGUAACCUCAUUCUACUCCUCCUGUAUGUUAUCCCUCCACAGGGCAUGUUGACCAUCCAGGUGAUGUAUUCUGGGUACAGUGACCCUAGCAACCUAAAGUUUGAGAACAUCUCCGUGAUUGGAGUCUCCAGUCCACCCGUGACUGUCAGUCACACACGGCAACAAAGUCAUUGUACAUCCUUUCAACUAUGACAACAAGCGGAAAUCCUACCUGGUCGACCACCAGAGGGAGGAGACUGCAACGGCGAUUCCCCAACCCGGACAUCCCCUGGCAAUUCCUGUGAUGCUUUGGAGCUUCCAAAAAACCUACCAAGGUAGACCACCAGACGGGGGACUGCAACAGCGAACACCAACUGGACAUCUGCUGCCCCGCCUCGGAGUGGCCUUCUUCAUUCACAUAAACCACCAGAGGGGGAACACAACGAGGGUCCAAAACUAGGACAACCAACAGUAAUUGUUCUGUUGGUUAGCAAAUGGCAGAAUAAUCACAAGAUUGAACCCAACAAGCAGUGACUGUCAUGACAUUGCCCUGUUGGAUUGGGUUUUUGACCCAGGGUAGCCUAGUGGUUAGAGUGUUGGACUAGUAACCGAAAGGUUGCAAGUUCGAAUCCCAGAGCCGACAAGGUACAAAUCUGUCAUUCUGCCCCUGAACAGGCAGUUAACCCACUGUUCCUAGGCCGUCAUUGAAAAUAAGAAUUUGUUCAUAACUGACUGUCCUAGUAAAAUAAAGGUAAAAAAGAAAAAUACCCUUUACCCUUUUCUAUCCACUCACAGAAUGGACUCUUGGAAAGCCCUUUGAUUAACAUAGAGAGAGUAGGGUAACAUCAAAAGGUUGGGGGAAGAGUAUAAUAUUUCUGUAAUAGAAACCAGUCUAAAGUGUCCGUUGAUACUUAAAGAAUAUGAUGUCAGAUCAGUUGUCGUCUGAGGCAUUAUUACUGAUGGUAGGAUGACAAAUUGUAUCUUGGAAAGUCUACACAUCAGAUUCACGUGGAAUUGUUGUGCAAUUUAAAUAUUUAAAUGUGAAACUAUUUGUGAAAAGAUUAAAUGUAAUUUUAGCUUCUAAAUAAGAUAAACUAUGCUCACUCAGUGGCCACGCCCAAGUGAACAGAUAUUGGUUGAGAACUAUGAAAAAAUGCCCUUCUCUCCCCCAAAACAAGAGCCUGUUGACGGAAGUCACCCUCAGUUCCCGAUGAUGUGAGGACUGGUGUCCAUACGUUUAAAAGGGCUAAUUUCAACAUGGAGGUGACGAUCGCCACACUGUAAGGAUUCAUUUAUACUAGACCAGCCAGAAUUCAAUGCGAGCUGAUUAUGGCAAAAUGGUAUGAUCUUUGAACUCUCAUUCACUAAAGAAGAAGUGAUACAUCGUAAAAGUCGAGUUAUCAGCUGCAGCUGUAAACGUAUGUGGCCUGGGAAAGGACAGACAAUCUCCUAAUCAGAAAGACAGGGUACAACAUAUCCACCUUACAACACUACGAACAGACAGAUUCUACAAAGGACAAGGGCGAUCUCUGCUGGGCAAACCAUUCCUCCAUCUUCGACCCCUCUAUUGAAGUACAGCUCAGUGUAAAGAUAUAUCUUGCAUUUUCCUUUUCCGAAUGGGCGGUUUUUAGAAUGCAUAAGAUUCUGUAUUUACGUUAGCAUAGCUUUUCAAGGUCCGAUGGAGACCCAAUCUCCUUUGUACCUCAGUGUCCUGCUUUUUCAAUCAAACCCAUUCUUCCUUUCUUUGUGUAACCAGCCGUCAUAUAGGUUUCAUCUGCUAGGGACUUUUUCUUUUAUGACAUGAUUAGUAAUCAACGUAUGAUCCAUCCUGUAUAUAUGAAAUUCUGUGUGAGUAUUUAGGUAUUUAGUAAAUAAAUAAUUAAGCCAA